rnacentral:rRNA from 1 species
UUUUAUGGAGAGUUUGAUCCUGGCUCAGGAUGAACGCUGGCGGCGUGCCUAAUACAUGCAAGUCGAGCGAACGGACGAGAAGCUUGCUUCUCUGAUGUUAGCGGCGGACGGGUGAGUAACACGUGGAUAACCUACCUAUAAGACUGGGAUAACUUCGGGAAACCGGAGCUAAUACCGGAUAAUAUUUUGAACCGCAUGGUUCAAAAGUGAAAGACGGUCUUGCUGUCACUUAUAGAUGGAUCCGCGCUGCAUUAGCUAGUUGGUAAGGUAACGGCUUACCAAGGCAACGAUGCAUAGCCGACCUGAGAGGGUGAUCGGCCACACUGGAACUGAGACACGGUCCAGACUCCUACGGGAGGCAGCAGUAGGGAAUCUUCCGCAAUGGGCGAAAGCCUGACGGAGCAACGCCGCGUGAGUGAUGAAGGUCUUCGGAUCGUAAAACUCUGUUAUUAGGGAAGAACAUAUGUGUAAGUAACUGUGCACAUCUUGACGGUACCUAAUCAGAAAGCCACGGCUAACUACGUGCCAGCAGCCGCGGUAAUACGUAGGUGGCAAGCGUUAUCCGGAAUUAUUGGGCGUAAAGCGCGCGUAGGCGGUUUUUUAAGUCUGAUGUGAAAGCCCACGGCUCAACCGUGGAGGGUCAUUGGAAACUGGAAAACUUGAGUGCAGAAGAGGAAAGUGGAAUUCCAUGUGUAGCGGUGAAAUGCGCAGAGAUAUGGAGGAACACCAGUGGCGAAGGCGACUUUCUGGUCUGUAACUGACGCUGAUGUGCGAAAGCGUGGGGAUCAAACAGGAUUAGAUACCCUGGUAGUCCACGCCGUAAACGAUGAGUGCUAAGUGUUAGGGGGUUUCCGCCCCUUAGUGCUGCAGCUAACGCAUUAAGCACUCCGCCUGGGGAGUACGACCGCAAGGUUGAAACUCAAAGGAAUUGACGGGGACCCGCACAAGCGGUGGAGCAUGUGGUUUAAUUCGAAGCAACGCGAAGAACCUUACCAAAUCUUGACAUCCUUUGACAACUCUAGAGAUAGAGCCUUCCCCUUCGGGGGACAAAGUGACAGGUGGUGCAUGGUUGUCGUCAGCUCGUGUCGUGAGAUGUUGGGUUAAGUCCCGCAACGAGCGCAACCCUUAAGCUUAGUUGCCAUCAUUAAGUUGGGCACUCUAAGUUGACUGCCGGUGACAAACCGGAGGAAGGUGGGGAUGACGUCAAAUCAUCAUGCCCCUUAUGAUUUGGGCUACACACGUGCUACAAUGGACAAUACAAAGGGUAGCGAAACCGCGAGGUCAAGCAAAUCCCAUAAAGUUGUUCUCAGUUCGGAUUGUAGUCUGCAACUCGACUACAUGAAGCUGGAAUCGCUAGUAAUCGUAGAUCAGCAUGCUACGGUGAAUACGUUCCCGGGUCUUGUACACACCGCCCGUCACACCACGAGAGUUUGUAACACCCGAAGCCGGUGGAGUAACCUUUUAGGAGCUAGCCGUCGAAGGUGGGACAAAUGAUUGGGGUGAAGUCGUAACAAGGUAGCCGUAUCGGAAGGUGCGGCUGGAUCACCUCCUUUCUAA